rnacentral:tRNA from 1 species
GGUAGCGUGGCCGAGCGGUCUAAGGCGCUGGUUUAAGGCACCAGUCUCUCCGGAGGCGUGGAAUCGAAUCCCACCGCUGCCA